GACAAUGUGGCAUAGUGGUGUGAGCAUUGGAUGAUGACUCCGGAGACCAGGCUUCGAUUCCCAGCCCAGCCA